rnacentral:lncRNA from 1 species
AGGAGGUGAGCGGUGUCGAGUGAGGGAGUGAGGGAAGCUUCGUCUGUAUUUACAGCCACUCCCCUUUGCUCACAUUCCCGCCUGAGCUCCACCUUCUCAGAUGAGCAGCAGCAUUAGAUGCUCAUAGGAGAACGCACCCUGUUGUGAACUGUGCAUGUGAGGGAUCUGGGUUGCGCUGUCCUUAUGAGAGUCUAAUACCUAUUGAUCUGUCACUUUCUCCCAUCACGCUCAGGUGGGAACAUCCAGUUGCAGGAAAACAAGCUUAACACGCCCACUGAUUCUACAUUAUGCUCCUACCUCCCGGCAGCCUCUCCAGGCCCAGAACUUUCUCCAGUCAGCCUCUACAGACCAAGCUCAUGACUCACAAUGGCCUAUUUAGGCCCAUACCCUACGUCACGGCAGCCUCCGCAGAUGAGGCUACUGCCUCACAACAGCCUCCACAGGCACAGCUCCAUCGUUACAAUGGCCUCUUUAGACCCAGCUCCUGCCUCCCAGCCUUCUCUCCAGGCCCUGAACUUUCUCAAGUCGACCUCACCAGGCCCAGCUCAUGCUUCUUUGCAGCCUCUCCAGGCCCAGCUCCUGCAUCUUGGUGGCCCCUCCAGGCCCAGCCUCUGCCUCCCGUCAGCCUCUACAGUCCCAACGUCUGCCUCACAGCAGAUUCUUCACGCCCAGCAUCUACCUCACUGUGGACCCCCCAAGCCAAGCUCCCAACCUUUCAGCAGCUUCUACACACCCA